ACUGGAUUUCAGCCUUCUUCAUCAGUUGGUGUUACUCAUGGUCUCGGUCGACAUACUACUCUAACUCAAAGUAUGGAUCAUCUUGGACUUUCCCAUAAUUUAGAUCAUCCUUCUUCACCAAGGCCAUGGGCAUCACAGAUGGUUGCUCCAAGGGGAAUCUCAGAUACUAGCAGGGGUUUGACUUCUC